rnacentral:rRNA from 1 species
AAAUUGAAGAGUUUGAUCAUGGCUCAGAUUGAACGCUGGCGGCAGGCCUAACACAUGCAAGUCGAACGGUAACAGGAAACAGCUUGCUGUUUCGCUGACGAGUGGCGGACGGGUGAGUAAUGUCUGGGAAACUGCCCGAUGGAGGGGGAUAACUACUGGAAACGGUAGCUAAUACCGCAUAACGUCGCAAGACCAAAGAGGGGGACCUUCGGGCCUCUUGCUAUCGGAUGUGCCCAGAUGGGAUUAGCUAGUAGGUGGGGUAACGGCUCACCUAGGCGACGAUCCCUAGCUGGUCUGAGAGGAUGACCAGCCACACUGGAACUGAGACACGGUCCAGACUCCUACGGGAGGCAGCAGUGGGGAAUAUUGCACAAUGGGCGCAAGCCUGAUGCAGCCAUGCCGCGUGUAUGAAGAAGGCCUUCGGGUUGUAAAGUACUUUCAGCGGGGAGGAAGGGAGUAAAGUUAAUACCUUUACUCAUUGACGUUACCCGCAGAAGAAGCACCGGCUAACUCCGUGCCAGCAGCCGCGGUAAUACGGAGGGUGCAAGCGUUAAUCGGAAUUACUGGGCGUAAAGCGCACGCAGGCGGUUUGUUAAGUCAGAU